rnacentral:rRNA from 1 species
GACGAACGCUGGCGGCGUGCUUAACACAUGCAAGUCGAACGAUGAACUGGAGCUUGCUCCAGGGAUUAGUGGCGAACGGGUGAGUAACACGUGAGUAACCUGCCCUUGACUCUGGGAUAAGCGCUGGAAACGGCGUCUAAUACCGGAUACGAGCUUCAGCCGCAUGGCUAGGAGUUGGAAAGAAUUUCGGUCAAGGAUGGACUCGCGGCCUAUCAGCUAGUUGGUGAGGUAAUGGCUCACCAAGGCGACGACGGGUAGCCGGCCUGAGAGGGGGACCGGCCACACUGGGACUGAGACACGGCCCAGACUCCUACGGGAGGCAGCAGUGGGGAAUAUUGCACAAUGGGCGCAAGCCUGAUGCAGCAACGCCGCGUGAGGGAUGACGGCCUUCGGGUUGUAAACCUCUUUUAGUAGGGAAGAAGCGAAAGUGACGGUACCUGCAGAAAAAGCACCGGCUAACUACGUGCCAGCCGCCGCCGUAA